rnacentral:rRNA from 1 species
UACGUAGGGUGCAAGCGUUGUCCGGAAUUAUUGGGCGUAAAGAGCUCGUAGGCGGUUUGUCGAGUCGAAUGUGAAAACCCGGGGCUCAACUCCGGGCCUGCAUUCGAUACGGGCAGACUAGAGUUCGGUAGGGGAGACUGGAAUUCCUGGUGUAGCGGUGAAAUGCGCAGAUAUCAGGAGGAACACCAGUGGGAAGGCGGGUCUCUGGGCCGAUACUGACGCUGAGGAGCGAAAGCGUGGGGAGCGAACAGG